AAGUGAGGAGCCUGGUUUGCCAACUUUUCGAACGGCUUCGAGCGAAAGAAAGCAGGGUUACUAAUUGUGGUCUAUGGUCUGAAGGGCCCAAGAACACGGUUCCAAAUCAAAAUCGGGAUGAGUUCAAGUGUCAGAAAGGGUUGAGCGAAGCUAUGAACAAAAAGACUGAGGAUGAUUUGUAUCCGGGAAACUUGGCCAAUAGGAUAGAGAAAUUCAAGAAACGCCGAAAUCUAAAGCCGUCUGGAGUGAAAUUGCUCAAUGCUAGGGAGUUGGCCCACAUCAAGCGGGAAUUAUAAUCAGUCCAUGAAGAAGGUUAAGAGCAGAGAGAGAAAGAUGGCAAAAA